AAGAAAAGAGAAUGGGUCAUGCAGGAGCAAUAGUAAUGGGAACAUAUGGUUCGGCAGAAUCCAAAGUUUCAAUGUUCAACAAAGCAAACA
rnacentral:tRNA from 2 species